rnacentral:tRNA from 1 species
AAGACACUAGUAAAAUCGUUUAUUACACCGCCUUGUCAAGGCAGAGUAGUGGGUUAAACCCCCGCGUGUCUUA